rnacentral:rRNA from 1 species
AGGUGCGAUCAUACCAGCACUAAUGCACCGGAUCCCAUCAGAACUUCGCAGUUAAGCGUGCUUGGGCGAGAGUAGUACUGGGAUGGAUGACCUCC